rnacentral:rRNA from 1 species
GAUGAACGCUGGCGGCGUGCUUAACACAUGCAAGUCGAACGGGAAUUACUUUAUUGAAACUUCGUUCGAUUUAAUUUAAUUCUAGUGGCGGACGGGUGAGUAACGCGUGGGUAACCUGCCUUAUACAGGGGGAUAACAGCCAGAAAUGACUGCUAAUACCCCAUAAGCCCACAGAACUGCAUGGCUCAGUGUGAAAAACUCCGGUGGUAUAAGAUGGACCCGCGCUGGAUUAGCUAGUUGGUGGGGUAACGGCCCACCAAGGCGACGACCCAUAGCCGGCCUGAGAGGGUGAACGGCCACAUUGGGACUGAGACACGGCCCAGACUCCUACGGGAGGAAGCAGUGGGGAAUAUUGCACAAUGGGGGAAACCCUGAUGCAGCGACGCCGCGUGAAGGAAGAAGUAUCUCGGUAUGUAAACUUCUAUCAGCAGGGAAGAUAAUGACGGUACCUGACUAAGAAGCCCCGGCUAACUACGUGCCAGCCGCCGCCGUAA